rnacentral:rRNA from 1 species
GAACGCGAAGAACCUUACCAGCCCUUGACAUGCCUCGGAAGUGGACGAGAGAUCGAUCACGCUCUUCGGAGCCGGGGACACAGGUGCUGCAUGGCUGUCGUCAGCUCGUGUCGUGAGAUGUUGGGUUAAGUCCCGCAACGAGCGCAACCCUCGCCCUUAGUUGCCAUCAUUCAGUUGGGCACUCUAGGGGGACUGCCGGUGAUAAGCCGGAGGAAGGUGGGGAUGACGUCAAGUCCUCAUGGCCCUUACGGGCUGGGCUACACACGUGCUACAAUGGCGGUGACAGUGGGCAGCAAGGCAGCAAUGCCAAGCUAAUCUCAAAAAGCCGUCUCAGUUCGGAUUGAGGUCUGCAACUCGACCUCAUGAAGUUGGAAUCGCUAGUAAUCGCGGAUCAGAACGCCGCGGUGAAUACGUUUCCCGGGUCUUGUACACACC